rnacentral:rRNA from 1 species
AGAGUUUGAUCCUGGCUCAGGACGAACGCUGGCGGCGUGCCUAAUACAUGCAAGUCGAACGAAGCUUUCUUUCACCGAAUGCUUGCAUUCACCGAAAGAAGCUUAGUGGCGAACGGGUGAGUAACACGUAGGCAACCUGCCCAAAAGAGGGGGAUAACACUUGGAAACAGGUGCUAAUACCGCAUAACCAUGAACACCGCAUGAUGUUCGUGUAAAAGACGGCUUUUGCUGUCACUUUUGGAUGGGCCUGCGGCGUAUUAACUUGUUGGUGGGGUAACGGCCUACCAAGGUGAUGAUACGUAGCCGAACUGAGAGGUUGAUCGGCCACAUUGGGACUGAGACACGGCCCAAACUCCUACGGGAGGCAGCAGUAGGGAAUCUUCCACAAUGGACGAAAGUCUGAUGGAGCAACGCCGCGUGAAUGAAGAAGGCCUUCGGGUCGUAAAAUUCUGUUGUCAGAGAAGAAUGUGCGUGAGAGUAACUGUUCACGUAUUGACGGUAUCUGACCAGAAAGCCACGGCUAACUACGUGCCAGCAGCCGCGGUAAUACGUAGGUGGCAAGCGUUGUCCGGAUUUAUUGGGCGUAAAGGGAACGCAGGCGGUCUUUUAAGUCUGAUGUGAAAGCUUUCGGCUUAACCGAAGUAGUGCAUUGGAAACUGGAAGACUUGAGUGCAGAAGAGGAGAGUGGAACUACAUGUGUAGCGGUGAAAUGCGUAGAUAUAUGGAAGAACACCAGUGGCGAAAGCGGCUCUCUGGUCUGUAACUGACGCUGAGGUACGAAAGCGUGGGUAGCAUACAGGAUUAGAUACGCUGGUAGUCCACGCCGUAAACGAUGAGUGCUAAGUGUUGGAGGGUUUCCGCCCUUCAGUGCUGCAGCUAACGCAUUAAGCACUCCGCCUGGGGAGUACGGUCGCAAGACUGAAACUCAAAGGAAUUGACGGGGGCCCGCACAAGCGGUGGAGCAUGUGGUUUAAUCCGAAGCAACGCGAAGAACCUUACCAGGUCUUGACAUCUUCUGACAAUUCCAGAGAUGGAACGUUCCCUUCGGGGACAGAAUGACAGGUGGUGCAUGGUUGUCGUCAGCUCGUGUCGUGAGAUGUUGGGUUAAGUCCCGCAACGAGCGCAACCCUUAUUGUCAGUUGCCAUCAUUAAGUUGGGCACUCUGGCGAGACCGCCGGUGACAAACCGGAGGAAGGUGGGGAUGACGUCAAAUCAUCAUGCCCCUUAUGACCUGGGCUACACACGUGCUACAAUGGACGGUACAACGAGUCGCUAACUCGCGAGGGCAAGCUAAUCUCUUAAAGCCGUUCUCAGUUCGGAUUGCAGGCUGCAACUCGCCUGCAUGAAGUCGGAAUCGCUAGUAAUCGCGAAUCAGCAUGUCGCGGUGAAUACGUUCCCGGGCCUUGUACACACCGCCCGUCACACCAUGAGAGUUUGUAACACCCAAAGUCGGUGGGGUAACCUUUUGGAGCCAGCCGCCUAAGGUGGGACAGAUGAUUGGGGUGAAGUCGUAACAAGGUA